rnacentral:misc_RNA from 1 species
CGUCCUUCGCCCCGAUUUCCCAGUAAGAGAUUCGUCUUGACAAGCUCUCGUUGGGGACGCGCUAAAUUUACGUGCGCAACAUGUGGGAAACUGGCUGACAGCGACUUUUUAGACCGUGAGGUACAGGGUAGGCUGGUUUACUUGGUCGUUUUCGCGAGUUUGGGCUGUCAGGUAUAGGGUAAGUGCUUACCCUGUACCUCAGAACAAAAACGGCCACCACGGACUCAAUUCUGCGUUUCCAGGCGAGAGGCUUUGCACACAGGACAGACAGAGGACGGGCUACCUGCUGGCAGUUUGAAAACAAUCAAAAGCAUUGGUGGAAAUCUGCCGGUAAAGUCGUGUUGUGUGAGGUGCAGGGUAAGUGCUUACCCUAUACCUCCCGAGUUUGCCGCCGCUAAAAAAAAAUAUAUGGGCGGAUGCGCGCCGAAUUAUCGAGUCUAUUGGUGUAGUUUUGGGGUGUGUACGUGCGCUGAAGAGUCUGUUGUUGCGAAAAGAAAUCUCGUGAGCACAUUUUUGGCAAAACGCAUACAAAUAAAUCUUGCGGAAAAUAAAAGUUGGCCCACGAGCGCCGUUUGGCAGAAAUGCCCCACGCAGGUGCUCGCAGGAUCUAUGACAGGAGGGCUCCCAUGGCAGGUAUAGGGUAGAGGUAUAGGGUAAGUUAGUUGUUAAUAGGCGCGGUUCUCCCAGUCUAUUGUAGUAAAGACAGAUUCGCGCGAGGUGUAGGGUAAGCUGGCUGACUUGGUCGUUUUUGAGCCGCGAGGUACAGGGUAAGUGCUUACCCUGUACCUCGGAACGAAAACCGCCACCACACGCUCAGUACUGCGUUUCCGGCCGAGAAAACUUGCAGACGGGCCAAACAGAGCACGGGCUACCUGCUGGACACUUCAAAAGUAUUGCCUCAAACUGGUCUUGCCGUUCUGUUGUGUUGAGCUCCAGGGUAAGCACUUACCCGGUACCUCCCGACCUUGCCGCAGCAAAAAAAAAAAAUACGCAGGCAGAUGCGCGCCGAAUUAUCGAGCGCAAUGCGCGCAUUUGAUCGAAGUCUGCGAUCCGUAUGGCGUUGUUGUUGCGAAAACCAAUGUCGUGAGCACAUUUUUAGCAAAACGCAUACAAAUGAAUUUUGCGGAAAAUAAAAGUUGGCCCACGAGCGCCGUUUGGCAGAAAUGCCCCACCCAGGUGCUCGCAGGAUCUAUGAGGAGGCGGAAAAAAAAACCAAGUCGGGUCAACCAGCUUGGCGUGGGUGCAAUUCCUACGGCCGACCUUCUGUACGUACCAUAUUUGACAGACAAUCCCUAUGCAACUCUUCAGGCGGGCUUCGAAGCUAUCCUCGUCUGCCUGGGGCGCUGCAGUGGGCGUCGACUUUCACGAAACCGGUCGCUCAGGCUUCACGGCGUACUGAAAAUGCAUGGAAGCGCCAUGGGCUCACGCCUCUUGACGCUGACAUAUGGGUUCUGUGGAUGACUGGCCGCUGGCAAGCCUUGAAACAGAGCAACAGGAGGCAACCCACGUUCGACGGACACCGAAAUGGUUGAUGUCGGGCGCUGGGCCCUCCUCCCUGGACGCCUAGACCAAACUUCCCCCAGCGGGUUCAGCGAGGUCGACGGACGCCCGGGGAAGUGAGAGUGGGAAACAGUUUGCCGUGCAUGGCGCCUGUGGCUUACGCUGUAGGUGCUACGUGCGGCGCGUCCCUCGUGGACGCCGCCCAGCAUAACUUGACUAUCCAGCGCCCUCGUGGCGCUGGCGGCCGCACGCCGGGCCACAGGAUAGU